AUUGAACGCUGGCGGCAGGCCUAACACAUGCAAGUCGAGCGGAUGAAGGGAGCUUGCUCCUGGAUUCAGCGGCGGACGGGUGAGUAAUGCCUAGGAAUCUGCCUGGUAGUGGGGGAUAACGUCCGGAAACGGGCGCUAAUACCGCAUACGUCCUGAGGGAGAAAGUGGGGGAUCUUCGGACCUCACGCUAUCAGAUGAGCCUAGGUCGGAUUAGCUAGUUGGUGGGGUAAAGGCCUACCAAGGCGACGAUCCGUAACUGGUCUGAGAGGAUGAUCAGUCACACUGGAACUGAGACACGGUCCAGACUCCUACGGGAGGCAGCAGUGGGGAAUAUUGGACAAUGGGCGAAAGCCUGAUCCAGCCAUGCCGCGUGUGUGAAGAAGGUCUUCGGAUUGUAAAGCACUUUAAGUUGGGAGGAAGGGCAGUAAGUUAAUACCUUGCUGUGUUGACGUUACCAACAGAAUAAGCACCGGCUAACUUC
rnacentral:rRNA from 1 species